GGGUGACGGCUGGGGAUCCCGCAGCCAUUCCCUUUGUGCCCGCCCCUUCCGCUCCGCAACGGCGUGUCGGAGAGCCGUGACGGGCUCUGCCCUGGUGCUCGUCAGCGAUUGGCGGAGGGGCGGGGCCCAGGGGCGCGGCUGUCCGCGGAUUGCUCGGGCGCGUUGGGGGCGGGCCCGCGCAUGCACGUAAGGGCGGUGCCCGGGUCGCCGUGGGUAGUGCCAAGAUGUCGGCGGCGGCGGUUCCGGAGCUGAAGCAGAUUAGCCGGGUGGAGGCGAUGCGUCUGGGGCCGGGCUGGAGCCACUCGUGCCACGCCAUGCUGUACGCCGCAAACCCCGGGCAGCUCUUCGGCCGCAUCCCCAUGCGCUUCUCGGUGCUGAUGCAGAUGCGCUUCGACGGGCUACUGGGCUUCCCCGGGGGCUUCGUGGACCGGCGCUUCUGGUCGCUGGAGGACGGACUGAAUCGGGUGCUGGGCCUGGGCCUCGGCUGCCUGCGCCUCACGGAGGCCGACUACUUGAGCUCUCACCUGACCGAGGGCCCGCACCGCGUCGUGGCGCACCUGUACGCGCGGCAGCUGACGCUGGAGCAGCUGCAUGCUGUGGAGAUCAGCGCGGUGCACUCGCGGGAUCACGGCCUGGAGGUGCUGGGGCUCGUGCGUGUCCCACUGUACACCCAGAAAGACCGAGUCGGUGGCUUUCCCAAUUUCCUGAGCAACGCUUUCAUCAGCACAGCCAAGUACCAGCUCCUCUUUGCCCUCAAGGUGCUCAACAUGAUGCCUGAGGAGAAGCUGGCUGAAGCUUUGGCUGCGGCCACGGAAAAGCAGAAGAAGGCCCUAGAGAAGCUGCUCCCAUCUUCCUCCUGAGCACAGUCUGCAGGCACCUCCAGGAAACAGUGUGGCAGCACUGGCCAAGCGUGCACAAUGACAACAGCAGAGCCACCACAGGACAGGAGGGUCACCCCUGGCGGUCUCCUAUGGCCCUAUGUCUGGAAAGACUCCUCAGCGAAGCUCACAGUUUCCACAGCGCCAGCCUGCAGGAAGUGAGAGGACACGGAUCAGCACCUGCUCUACGUGGAAGCUCCGUGGGCUGUCCUUCUACCAAGACUGUCUGCUAGAAAGAUCCCUGCUUUGAAGGGGGAGAGUAGCCCCCAGGAUCCUGGGACAGAAGACAGAAAGCGUCAUAAGGAGUCGUGACCUUCCCACCCUGCCUGGCUGCUGCUUUCACUGGACAGGGAGCUGGGGCUGCUAGGGAUGCUCUCAAAGGUGGACAGUGGAAAACGUCAGGGUGCCCUGAGCACAGCAGUGUCCACUGGUCCAGCUCGGGGCCUCGGGACCCAGGCUGUCUGCACCUGAGCUGGGAGCAGCUGCAGGAGUGGACAGCUGACAGCAGGGAGAAAGCCGGCCACUGGACAGGGAGGCUCUCCACCCAAUGCUGGGAGCUGCACCUCAGCUGGUUCCUGGGCAUUGUGUACACAGAGGCCCUGGG